AUACGUCUGGCAGGGGGGAUACCAUGAUCAGGAAGGUGGCUUUCCUAGGGCAAGGCUCACCCAUGACACAUGGGAUGUGGUGAUCCCUAUGAUUUUAUUUCAGGAUAUUUGAUCAAAUUGUGAACCUACAGAUUGUGUUACUUAUUGAGAACC
ensembl:snRNA Gm23518 predicted gene, 23518